rnacentral:rRNA from 1 species
GACGAACGCUGGCGGCGUGCUUAACACAUGCAAGUCGUACGGUAAGGCCCUUUCGGGGGUACACGAGUGGCGAACGGGUGAGUAACACGUGAGUAACCUGCCCACAACUUUGGGAUAACGCUAGGAAACUGGUGCUAAUACUGGAUAUGUGCUCCUGCUGCAUGGUGGGGGUUGGAAAGCUCCGGCGGUUGUGGAUGGACUCGCGGCCUAUCAGCUUGUUGGUGGGGUAGUGGCCUACCAAGGCGGCGACGGGUAGCCGGCCUGAGAGGGUGACCGGCCACAUUGGGACUGAGAUACGGCCCAGAUGCCUACGGGAGGCAGCAGGGGGGAAUAUUGCACAAGGGGCGCAAGCCUGAUGCAGCAACGCCGCGGGCGGGAUGACGGCCUUCGGGUUGUAAACCGCUUUCAGCAGGGACGAAGCUUUUUGUGACGGUACCUGCAGAAGAAGCACCGGCUAACUACGUG